rnacentral:misc_RNA from 1 species
GAAGUGCGAAACGUGUCAUGACUUGCAGAUUCCCGAGAGCUGACGAAUCUCUGAAUGCAAAUGGCGGCCGCUUGACUCGGCCAUGGAUUGCAGAGUGUAGUGGUUCCGACUCCUCAUCCAAUCUUGUCUCGAUACACGAUUGCAUCUGCGCUUGCAACAACGAUCGCGAGCGUGAAAUGUCGAGUUAAGUGGUCUUCGACCCGAAGGCUGCUUGACUACGGAUCCACGCAACCACGGGGACGCUCCGUGCUUGCCUGUUCAAACCCAAACUUCUUUAUCCCACCUCUGCAAUGCAGGAUUACCCGCUGAACUUAA